UUUUAUGGAGAGUUUGAUCCUGGCUCAGAGUGAACGCUGGCGGCGUGCCUAAUACAUGCAAGUCGAACGAUGAAGCUUCUAGCUUGCUAGAAUGCUGAUUAGUGGCGCACGGGUGAGUAAUGCAUAGGUCAUGUGCCUCUUAGUUUGGGAUAGCCAUUGGAAACGAUGAUUAAUACCAGAUACUCCCUACGGGGGAAAGAUUUAUCGCUAAGAGAUCAGCCUAUGUCCUAUCAGCUUGUUGGUAAGGUAAUGGCUUACCAAGGCUAUGACGGGUAUCCGGCCUGAGAGGGUGAACGGACACACUGGAACUGAGACACGGUCCAGACUCCUACGGGAGGCAGCAGUAGGGAAUAUUGCUCAAUGGGGGAAACCCUGAAGCAGCAACGCCGCGUGGAGGAUGAAGGUUUUAGGAUUGUAAACUCCUUUUGUUAGAGAAGAUAAUGACGGUAUCUAACGAAUAAGCACCGGCUAACUCCGUGCCAGCAGCCGCGGUAAUACGGAGGGUGCAAGCGUUACUCGGAAUCACUGGGCGUAAAGAGCGCGUAGGCGGGAUAGUCAGUCAGGUGUGAAAUCCUAUGGCUUAACCAUAGAACUGCAUUUGAAACUACUAUUCUAGAGUGUGGGAGAGGUAGGUGGAAUUCUUGGUGUAGGGGUAAAAUCCGUAGAGAUCAAGAGGAAUACUCAUUGCGAAGGCGACCUGCUGGAACAUUACUGACGCUGAUUGCGCGAAAGCGUGGGGAGCAAACAGGAUUAGAUACCCUGGUAGUCCACGCCCUAAACGAUGGAUGCUAGUUGUUGGAGGGCUUAGUCUCUCCAGUAAUGCAGCUAACGCAUUAAGCAUCCCGCCUGGGGAGUACGGUCGCAAGAUUAAAACUCAAAGGAAUAGACGGGGACCCGCACAAGCGGUGGAGCAUGUGGUUUAAUUCGAGGAUACACGAAGAACCUUACCUAGGCUUGACAUUGAGAGAAUCCGCUAGAAAUAGUGGAGUGUCUGGCUUGCCAGACCUUGAAAACAGGUGCUGCACGGCUGUCGUCAGCUCGUGUCGUGAGAUGUUGGGUUAAGUCCCGCAACGAGCGCAACCCCCUUUCUUAGUUGCUAACAGGUUAUGCUGAGAACUCUAAGGAUACUGCCUCCGUAAGGAGGAGGAAGGUGGGGACGACGUCAAGUCAUCAUGGCCCUUACGCCUAGGGCUACACACGUGCUACAAUGGGGUGCACAAAGAGAAGCAAUACUGCGAAGUGGAGCCAAUCUUCAAAACACCUCUCAGUUCGGAUUGUAGGCUGCAACUCGCCUGCAUGAAGCUGGAAUCGCUAGUAAUCGCAAAUCAGCCAUGUUGCGGUGAAUACGUUCCCGGGUCUUGUACUCACCGCCCGUCACACCAUGGGAGUUGUGUUUGCCUUAAGUCAGGAUGCUAAACUAGCUACUGCCCACGGCACACACAGCGACUGGGGUGAAGUCGUAACAAGGUAACCGUAGGUGAACCUGCGGUUGGAUCACCUCCUUUCUAGA
rnacentral:rRNA from 1 species